rnacentral:rRNA from 1 species
CAGCACCUCAAGUGGUCAGGAUGAUUAUUGGGCCUAAAGCAUCCGUAGCCGGCGCUGUAAGUUUUCGGUUAAAUCUGUACGCUCAACGUACAGGCUGCCGGGAAUACUGCAGCGCUAGGGAGUGGGAGAGGUAGACGGUACUCGGUAGGAAGGGGUAAAAUCCUUUGAUCUAUUGAUGACCACCUGUGGCGAAGGCGGUCUACCAGAACACGUCCGACGGUGAGGGAUGAAAGCUGGGGGAGCAAACCGGAUUAGAUACCCGAGUAGUCU